CCUACGGUGUGCAGCAGUGAGGAAUAUUGGUCAAUGGGCUUACGCCUGAACCAGCCAAGUCGCGUGAGGGAAGACUGCCCUAUGGGUUGUAAACCUCUUUUGUAAGGGAGCAACGCCGGCUACGUGUAGCCGGACUGAGAGUCCCUGAAGAAAAAGCAUCGGCUAACUCCGUCCCAGCAGCCGCGGUAAUACGGAGGAUGCGAGCGUUACCCGGAUUUUUUGGGGUUAAAGGGUGCGGAGGCGGCAUGCCAAGUCAGCGGUAAAAUCGCGGGGCUCAACCUCGCUCCGCAGUUGAAACUGGCGUUCUUGAGUGGGCGACAGGUAUGCGGAAUGCGUGGUGUAGCGGUGAAAUGCAUAGAUAUCACGAAGAACCCCGAUUGCGAAGGCAGCAUACCGGCGCCCAACUGACGCUGAGGCACGAAGGCGUGGGUAUCGAACAGGAUUAGAUACCCUUGUAGUA
rnacentral:rRNA from 1 species